AAAUUACGCCCUCCAUGAAGCCGGAAUUGCUAGUAAUGGCAGGUCAGCAUACUGCCGUGAAUACGUUCCCGGGCCCUUGUACACACCGCCCGUCACACCAUGAGAGUUGGAGAUACCCGAAGCCUGUGAGCUAACAAACGAGGCAGCAGUCGAAGGUAGAAUCAAUGAUUGGGGUGAAGUCGUAACAAGGUAAC
rnacentral:rRNA from 1 species